rnacentral:piRNA from 1 species
GCCAUUUUCAAACGCUAAUGGUCGCAUGCC